UACGGGGGGGGCAAGCGUUGUUCGGAAUUACUGGGCGUAAAGGGCUCGUAGGCGGCCAACUAAGUCAGACGUGAAAUCCCACGGCUCAACCGUGGAACUGCCUUAGAUACUGUCGGCCUCGAGGAAGGUAGGGGCAUGCGGAACUGUAGGUGGAGCGGUGAAAUGCGUUGAUAUCUACAGGAACUCCGGUGGCGAAAGCGGCGUGCUGGACCUUUUCUGACGCUGAGGCGCGAAAGCUAGGGGAGCAAACGGG
rnacentral:rRNA from 1 species